GAAAGUGAGGUAAUCCGCACUACCUCCAAGGCGCAAAAAGGGGAUGUUGGGGCGUCAGCACAUCCUAUGUGCCCAGAUAGGAUUAGCUAGUGGGUGAGGUAAGGGCUCACCUAGGCGACGAUCCCUAGCUGGUUUGAGAGGAUGACCAGCCACACUGGAACUGAGACACGGUCCAGACUCCUACCGGAGGCAGCAGUGGGGAAUAUUGCACAAUGGGCGCAAGCCUGAUGCAGCCAUGCCGCGUGUGUGAAGAAGGCCUUAGGGUUGUAAAGCACUUUCAGCGAGGAGGAAGGCAUCAUACUUAAUACGUGUGGUGAUUGACGUUACUCGCAGAAGAAGCACCGGCUAACUCCGUGCCAGCAGCCGCGGUAAUACGGAGGGUGCAAGCGUUAAUCGGAAUUACUGGGCGUAAAGCGCACGCAGGCGGUUUGUUAAGUCAGAUGUGAAAUCCCCGCGCUUAACGUGGGAACUGCAUUUGAAACUGGCAAGCUAGAGUCUUGUAGAGGGGGGUAGAAUUCCAGGUGUAGCGGUGAAAUGCGUAGAGAUCUGGAGGAAUACCGGUGGCGAAGGCGGCCCCCUGGACAAAGACUGACGCUCAGGUGCGAAAGCGUGGGGAGCAAACAGG
rnacentral:rRNA from 1 species